CUAAGGAAGCUGUGGAAUUGGUAAGACGAUCGGCUCAUGUCUUCGGACGUGCCCCGAUAUGAACCUUCCCGUGCUUUUUAGAACAUAGAUGGCACCAGUCAGGUGACCAUCGAAACGCAAUACGCCACGGAAAUGCUUUGGCAUUCGGAUGGUAUGGCGAGCCUCGCCGUCCACGUUUCUCUUUCUUCAAGAAGACAAAGAACCGCGUCGAUCCGGAUGGCUGAUUGCUGUCUGGACCGGUUUGACGAGAAUGGGCCCGUAGCUCAGUUGGUUAGAGCACACGCUUGAUAAGCGUGGGGUCGGAAGUUCAAGUCUUCCCGGGCCCACCAGCCUUCGCCCUUUUGGGCUAUGGCUUGGCGAGCUGGGAAAAGACGGUGACGCGGAAGUUGCCGAACCCUGGUUAAGAUCGGGGCGAUCGAGCUGAUGGGGCUGUAGCUCAGCUGGGAGAGCACCUGCUUUGCAAGCAGGGGGUCAGCGGUUCGAUCCCGCUCAGCUCCACCAAAUCGAUUGGUGUCGAGACUGACGGCAUGUUGUCUUCUGAAGAAAUAAAGGUUUUGCAUCGGCCUUUGUGCUGAUUGCGUGUUCUGCAUACAUUGUGAAGAGAAGAUUGAUCUGGAGGCUUCCAGGUGUUUUGAGCGACCGUAAGGUUGUUUGAAGCGUCCGAGCCCGGACCUGAUGAUAUCGUGGAUGGCCUAGCCGGCUGGAAACGAAGGAGGGGACGGAGGUAGGAAGGAAGCUUGUCGCUCUGGGUCGCCAGCGUAAACUGCGUAAGUGGUUUACGCGUGUUGUUUACGGUCUUUGGACUGUAUCUUGACGGCGAUCGGAUUACCGUUGCCUGACCGCGCGGUACCGGAUUUAAUCUCGAGAAGCUGGUCUUAAAGACAGGCUGCAAGCGAGCUGCUCGGCGUAGCUCCAAAAAAGCAAGCCUGUCGAACACGUCGAUGGCAUUGUUGAGUAGGCUGGGUUGUAAAAGGUAACCCGGUCUGUUGUUCGUUUCCUGACGGAAACGGCAACUAGAUGAUGAGCAUUGGCAAUGAGAACGAUCAAGUGUCGUAAGGGUAUUUAGUGGAUGCCUAGGCAUGCACAGGCGAUGAAGGACGUGAUACGCUGCGAAAAGCCNUGGGGAGCUGCGAAUAAGCU
rnacentral:misc_RNA from 1 species